AAUGACUGGCCUGAGACUGCACAUCUAACAGGAGUUACUUUCCACAUAAAUGACUUAGGUUUACAGUUCAAACAAAGCCAUAGCUAAGUGCAUCCUCCCAUGUUGAACUUGAGGAUGCUGGGUGUUACUUUCAGCCUCACAAAACAGAAGCAUGGUGGCCAGCUGGGGAGAGGAACAGGGCAGGGGCUGGCGGAUUACCUGUCCCCAGGAGGCCAGGUGAAUGUGCGGCAGGGGAGCUGUGCCUGGAAACUGGGCCGUGGGUAGGAUGGAUUUACACAUACUUUGAACUCUGAGAUCUGAUGACUGUGGCUCAAAUUUUACCUGGAUCUAAUAGAGUAUAUCUUUUCUCCAAUAAUAUUUAGCGCCUCAUUCUCCAUUUUCAAGGAGAAAGUGGAAACAUAUAAAUUGUAGGCUUGAUAUCCAUCUAUUGUAUUAAAAUAACCAUACCUGUGGCAUGUAAAACACUACGAGAGGGUGGGAAAGAGCUAGAAUCAAGGCUGGUUGUUCAGGCAGGGCCUGAUGGUCCUUCUCCGCAUGCAGGCUCAGAAAUCUGAUUUUAGCAGGCCACUCAGAAAAAAUUCAGA
rnacentral:lncRNA from 1 species